rnacentral:lncRNA from 1 species
CUAGUCCUGUCUCCAAAAUCCCCGUUGUGUUUCUAAUAAGACUUUAUGUGACCAAGUUCAAAGAUUGACUGAAUUGUUCCAGAAAUACUGGUGGGCUUUAGGUCAAAAAUUACUUUAUUAAGACUUUUCAUAUUGAACAUAACUGCCAAAGUCUGCAUUUUCACCUUUUCUGAGAAAUUGUGAAACAGCAGCAAGAAGAAUGAAUUUUAAAACCCCCAAACUCCAUUUGCACCAGACUUAGAGACAGAGAUCCUUUUCAGACUCCAAAAUACCUGGAUGGUCUGCCCAAAGCAGCUGAGAUCAGGUGAAACCUGUGUGGGAAAGGGUGAAGUGCAGGGUGGUAAGAGAUGGAGCAGGGACAGACGUCAGCAACACGCCAAAGGCAUUUCCUGAGCAGAGGGUGCACAGUGAGGUGCAGGAAGAGAGGUGAUCAACACUUGGGUCAGAAGUUCUCCUGGCCCCAGUUUGGUUCUGAGAAGCAGAGGAGGCAGGUUUGCCAAAUUUCAAAUUUGCAGGAGGCAGACAGUCAGUCUCUGUGGCAGCAGAAAAGAAGAGAGCCAUCGGGUUGUGAAGACAGCUAGCCUGGAAAACUGCUGCCAUCGCCUUCGUCCUAGGCAGAAACACAAACAUAAGCACAUUAAACAAUGCAAAGACAAAUACUGAGAAAAAUGACACCAUUGACUGUAAU